rnacentral:tRNA from 1 species
GCUUUGUAAGCAAAAGUAACGCAAUUAGUCUUGUAAGCUAAAGAAAAAGGUUAAAUUCCUUAACAAAGUU